rnacentral:rRNA from 1 species
GAUGAACGCUAGCUACAGGCUUAACACAUGCAAGUCGCGGGGCAUCAUGGAGGUUGCUUGCAAUUUCUGAUGGCGACCGGCGCACGGGUGAGUAACGCGUAUCCAACCUUCCCAUUACUACGGCAUACCCCGUUGAAAGGCGGCCUAAUUCCGUAUGCAGUCCGAAGCAGUCAUCUAAUUUGGACGAAAGGUAUAUUCUAUCGGUAAUGGAUGGGGAUGCGUCCGAUUAGCCAGCCGGCGGGGUAACGGCCCACCGGGGCAUUGAUCGGUAGGGGUUCUGAGAGGAAGGUCCCCCACACUGGAACUGAGACACGGUCCAGACUCCUACGGGAGGCAGCAGUGAGGAAUAUUGGUCAAUGGGCGUAAGCCUGAAACCAGCCAAAGUAGCGUGCAGGAUGACGGGCCCCUAUGGGUUGUAAAAC